CGAAGCACUGCCGUGCCUCUAUUUACGCGAGACGUCGUUUGCAAGAUUUCGUAGAUUAUUGUAUCUCAAUAACGGCUGAAUCGAUCGAUUUCUAAAUAAGCUUAAUGGAUAGCUUGCAUCCUAUUUAUAUAACAAAAGUGUUUUUAUUUUUCCGCUACGUGACUUACGUGCGAAGAUAUCGUGAUUUAAAGUUUCGUAUCAAGAGUAAUAAAUUUUAAGAAACGUCGUCGUCGUCAUUAUUAUCGUCGUCGCCCGGGACAGAUGGUGGGGAUUUGUACUUUUGCUUUUUGCGCGAUAGAUGGUUACGAAUGUGACAGGGGCACGAGAAUUGACAAAAAGUGCAUGUUCGUGUCCGUGGAAGUUCAGUAAACGAGAAAUUACGUGUUUUGAUUGGCGGUCGAGUCCGCCUGUGGCGCCUGUCGAGGUAAUGUUUAAUGUUUAAUCCGCGGCGAGAUUCACGGCGGUAAAGUGACAGUUCGAGGUUAGUGAUGUGUUGACGUGUGCGAGGUCGCGCCCACGGCCUCGUCCACGGCCUCCACGACCUCCACGGCCUCCACGGCCUUCUUGUCCUCCGCGGCCUUUGCGAUUUCGACCUCCUCGUUGCCACCGACGAGCUAGCCGGGUCCGGGUUCGGGGGCGGGACCGGUUCCGGUGUUGGAAUUGGGGUCGAAGACGAGGCCGAAGCCGGGACCGUAGUCGGGGCCGGAGCCGGGGCCGUAGUCGGAGCU